AAAUUCACGGCGGAUGUGAAAAAGUGAAAGAAAAUUGCACAACUUUUUGUAUCGUUUCCCACAUACGGCACCAAAUGUUGAUGCAUAAAACCGGAGGUCUUGGAACAAUGUAAAUCCGACUGUGAAUCUGCAAGUAAUGUAAAUAACACAAGAAGUAUUGUGGUUCACCCCAAGGUUUGGGCUAGUUCCACACUGAUUAUGUAUUUAUUUGAGGGAGAGAGAGCUAUGAGAGUGAGAGCUUUGAGAGGGGUGAGAAGGCUUCAGAAUUGGCCUCCUCUAAUUGUGAGGGUGAGGGGUCAAUUUAUAGAAUAAGGACUCCUCACUUAUUACAUAUUUUCCCCUUUCUUUAUCACAUAAUUACAUUUAAGUUCCCCGAGUAUUUAUACGAGAUCUAAAUACGAUGCCCUAAAUAUGGUAUAAACACCAUUCAAUCAAUAGGAACAUGGAUUUUGGUUCCUUCUUUUUCAUCCCAGAAUGUUGUCAGUUGUAAAUGGGUAUUUAGAAUCAAGAAGAAGCCCGAUUGAACCAUUGACAGUUAUAAAGCCCGGCUUGUUGCCAAGGGUUUUCAUCAAAAAAAGGGUUUGGACUAUCAAGAAACUUUUAGUCCUGUGGCAAAGCUUGUAACUAUCAGAAUUUUGUUAACUUUUGCUGUGCAAUUCAAUUGGUUUCUGCAUCAACUUGAUAUUAGUAAUGCCUUCCUUCAUGGUGAUUUAAAAGAAGAAGUAUUCAUACAUCAGCCACCUGGUUUCAGUUAUCCAAACUUUCCAAAUCAUGUGUGUUAACUCAAAAAGUCCUUGUAUGGAUUCAAAUAGGCUCCAAAGGCAUGGUUUGAUAAACUAUUUCAAGCUCUUAAGUCCCUUGGUUUCACUCAAUCAUCAUCUGAUGCAUCCCUAUUUGUUCUCAAAGUUCCAGUUCUUGUUAUUGUCCUUGUAUAUGUGGAUAACAUAUUGGUCAGUGGUCCAAAUUCAUCAGUUUGAAAUCUUUUCAUUAAGAAAUUAAGCUCUUUGUUCCCUGUAAAGGACUUAAGUCCCUUACAUUAUUUCUUGGGUCUUGAGGUUCAACGAACCAAAGAGGGACUAUUUCUACAUCAAGGCAAAUAUCUGAUGGACUUGUUACAAAAGACAAAAAUGGAGGGUGCUAAGCCUUGUUCUACUCCUCUUGGCACUGCCAAACUAGAUCAUAGUGGUACACAUUUGCAAAACCCAACAAAGUAUAGAUCUAUUGUGGGAGGCCUACAUUAUUUAACUUGGACUCAGCCUGAUAUCUCAUUUGCAGUUAAUCAAGUGUACCAAUUCAUGCAUACUCCUACUGAAUUACAUAUGCAGGCAACCAAGAGAAUACUCAGAUUUCUCAAAGGUACAUCUUCACAUGGUAUAUGGUUUCAUAAAGGCCCUCUCACUCUAUCAACCAACUUUGAUGCAGACUGGGCUGGCUGCAUUUUGAUAGGAGAUCCACGAGAGGAUUUUGUGUGUUUCUUGGUUCAAACGUAGUCAGCUGGAGUGCUAAAAAGCAGCCUACAGUAGCUUGUUCUUCUACUGAGGCUGAAUAUCGAUCCCUGGCUCACACUGCCCUUGAAGUUACAUGAAUCUGUAAAGUUUUCCGAGAUUUUGGUUUCUCCUUCUUUGUUAAACCUACCAUAUGGUGUGAUAACAUUUAUGCUAUCUCCCUUGCAUCAAAUCCCAUUUUUCAUGCGAGAACUAAACAUGUGGAAAUUGAUUACCACUAUAUAAGUGAGCUAGUUCUUGCAAAUCUAGUUAUAGUUCAGUAUGUUUGCAGUCAGGACCAGAUAGCUGAUAUUCACACCAAAUCCUUGUCUAAGAAUCAGUUUCUCUUUCUUCAAUCCAAGCUUUCUCUUGGAACUCCCAGUCUUUCCAAGCUCAACUUAAGGGGGUGUAAAGAUAAAGAUGCCCAGUCAUGAUAGUUCAUAUAGUUUAGGUAGCCAAUUAUUCUUGUUACACCUGUAUAGUUUUGGUUAGUUUGUUAUAUUUGUUACAGGUUGUUAGAGGAAGUUUUUGUACAUGGCCUUAACUAUAUAUAUACCCCAAAUGUAAGUGUAAUUAUCAAGUAAUGAGAAGAGGUUGUUAGAGGAAGUUUUUGUACAUGGCCUUUACUAUAUAUAUACCCCAAAUGUAAGUGUAAUUAUCAAGUAAUGAGAAGAGGAUUAUUCAGUAAAACCAUUCUUUUGUUUCUUUUGGUUUCUUUAGCUAUGACACAGAUGUGUCAGAUCAGAAAUAGACUUCGAGCAAAUGGAAUAUGCAAAUAGAAGCGAAAUUGUUACUAUGUAGCAGUAAUAGUAUUAACUAGAAAAUACGUCUGCGUGUUGCUGUGGGAACCAACUAUUUCAAACGUAAUUGGAUGAAUAAAACACAUUUAAAUUGAAUAAAUUCAAUACAAUUAUGAACAAACAAAGAGAUAAAUGAGUGAAUGAGGUCGAUAAGAUAAGCAGUUUUGCUUUUAUAUACAUUCAUGUGAGCUGGCAUAUAAACACACUGUACAAUGAGUGGGAAGAAACUGAACGUCUUUGAUUUGAAAGAGAUGGUUACCCAAAAAGUUCUGUUUCCUUAAGAAACAGAACAAACAUGUAGUUCACACAUAUAAUAUGUGUCUUGCAGUGUAGGCAGCCAUUUCAACAGGUAAUUAAAAACAGAAAGUGUUGAGGACUUGUUCUAGUAGCUAAUUUUGUAACCUCAUCUGUUCAAACGCCAAAAAUAAGUAGGUGGUCUGUUUCCAUACGAAACUGAAGAAACAGAAGCAAGCUACAGUUUACACAUAUUUUGCCCCUGCAGUUAAGAUGGCAAAAUAUAUGCCCUGCAGCCUACAUACCUCACUUAGCAGUUAGCAAAACACAGAAAAAAUGGUGUUUGAAUAGGUAAGUCGUCAAGCAUGGCAUGGUGUGCAUCAUUCGAUGACGGAGAGCGUGGCUAUUCACUUUUUCUAAGACCGAACAUCUUCGACACUAUAGCAAAAAACAUAAAUCAUAAUGUAACAAAGGCAGCCAUUAUGGUCGCCAUUCAGGCAUGUGUUGAUACUCAUAACUGUGUUCACUUAUCCAUAUUAUAUUUGAAUAUGCAUGAGGAUAAAUGGUUGAUACUCAUAACUGUGUUCACUUAUCCAUAAUAAAAUUUCAAAGGAUGAAACUUUAAUUACCAAGAAACCAAUAAUGAAAACUAAUUAUUGAAAACAAAUAACGCACAUAUACCUGUCAAUCUAUUAAAUAAAACCGACCCAUACUCUGACACCAAAAAAGGUAAAACUACAUAAGUUAAAGGUCAGUCCUUUGCAAAACCAACAAUUGCAUAUACCAAAAAAUGAAAUAAAAACAAAAUCUAACAACCAAAAAAUGUGUAUAUGCAGUAGCAAUCAUGUGAGAGUUCAUUCAUCGGCUAAAAUUUGAAAUUUCAGAUUGACCAAUUACACCAUUUCUAUAAAAUUUCAGUUAUGGCAUUAGUAUUGAGCAAAAUUAAUAUGUUAGGACAGAACCAAUUUCUGACAUAUGUCAACAAUCCAUAAAAAGGGAUCCUUAUUCAACAAUAUAUUUUUUUUUAUACCAAAAACGAAGCAAUGAAAUAAAUGUUUUACUUUGAAAUUUCAACAUAGACUUAGUUCAGACAUUAACAACUUACUUUGAAAUUCCUCUCACGGUAUGUGACUACAAUAUUCGUUGACGAUUGUUGUAGAGUCGACAUUAGGUGUACAACUCUUUGACUAAGUCAUUAGACACAGUACAAAAGCUUACUUUCCAUGAGCUUUGCAUGUAACUCACAAAUUCAGAACUACAUGUGUCAUUUAUGUGUCCUCAGCUUUCAUUGCAUAAUCACUGCAUUAACCAAAUCCAAAAAAGAAAAAAAAAUGUGACUCUCUCUCUAUGGCUUUCUUACUACACAAAAAUAUCUCUUAGUUAAAGCAUGCCACACAUCAUCACAUUGCUAUUAUAUGAAGUAUAUUCCUCAGUGGCAAGUAAUAUACUCUCCUUAGCCCAAGAUGAUAUGAAAUUGGUCGAGUACAUUGUUCUAGCCAUUUGGAUCAAUAAGCUCAAGUUUGCAUUGUGCAAAACCCUUAAUACUCAGACAUAUGAAAUCCAAUCUUCCACUUUACAAAUCACAUAUGGUAAAAUAAUAGCUCUGAAGAAACCGGAAGAAGUAAAAGGCUUUAGAACACAAAUAUACCUGAGGUUCCAAAAUAUGGAGUUGAGGAAGCGUUUUCUUCUUAUUUUGAGGGAAGACGAAUGCAGCUCUGAAUUUGGACCCAUUUUCUUAACCCGUGGUUCCUAUAACCCAUUAAUUUUUUUAGUGUCGUUAAAAAUCACAAAUACCCCAAAUGAAAUGAAAAACUGCAUAUAUUAGUUAAAAACACCUGAACGGCAUCAUAUUGGCUAUACUAAAUAUAACAGUACCCCAAAUUUAUGGUGCUAUCAAAUUUAUGUAUAUAAAUUUACGUAUAUUUUUAAUGACACUAAAGAUUAAUUCUGAACUUAUGGUACUAUCAAAGUUAUGUAUAUAGCAUACCUAUAUUAGUAUGAUUCUAAUUUACAUAUGUUUCUUAUCAAAAAAUUUAUAACAUAAAUUUCAAUUUGUAUGCUUACAACGCAAAAAUUUUCGUUUCGUUUCAUAAAAUUACAAAUAAUUCACUGAUACUUCAUACAUGGAGUGGCAAACCACUUUAGUUGGGUUCUCUUGGCACAAAUUUGAGUUGGAAAGUCAGGAGAAUUCUAAAACCAGCAUGAGAUACUUCAGAACAAUUUGACAAAAUAGGGUGUGGAUAUGUUUUAAUAUUCCUUCCAACAAACAACAAAACAUUAUCCCCUAGAUGAAAAAAUACAAUAGAAAACAAAGCACAAGCACUUUACCCCAAUGCCGCAUGAGUACAAAUGCAUCCUAAAUUUGACCUGAGUAAAAGUUGAUAAAAGGAUGGUACUUCUUAUAUAUAUAUUUGUACUAGCCAAGGCCAGCAAAAAAAUUAAUGAGCAAUCCAAACAACAACAACAACAACAACAAAGCCUUUUCCCACUAAGUGGGGUCGGCUAUAUGAAUCCUAGAACGCCAUUGCGCUCGGUUUUGUGUCAAGUCCUCUGUUAGAUCCAAGUACUCUAAGUCUUUUCUUAGAGUCUCUUCCAAAGUUUUCCUAGGUCUUCCUCUACCCCUUCGGCCCUGAACCUCUGUCCAGUAGUGACAUCUUCGAACCGGAGCGUCGGUAGGCCUUCUUUGCACAUGUCCAAAUCACCGAAACCGAUUUUCUCUCAUCUUUCCUUCAAUUUCGGCUACUCCUACUUUACCUCGGAUAUCCUCAUUCCCAAUCUUAUCCUUUCUCGUGUGCCCACAUAUCCCACGAAGCAUCCUCAUCUCCACCACACCCAUUUUUUGUACGUGUUGAUGCUUCACCGCCCAACAUUCUGUGCCAUACAACAUCGCUGGCCUUAUUGCCGUCCUAUAAAAUUUUCCCUUGAGCUUCAGUGACCUAUGACGGUCACACAACACGCCGGAUGCACUCUUACACUUCAUCCAUCCAACUUGUAUCUAUGGUUGAGAUCUCCAUCUAAUUCUCCGUUCUCUUGCACGAUAGAUCUUAGGUAGCGAAAACGGUCGCUUUUUGUGAUCUUCGCUAGAUUGCUCCGGUCAUUAGUAUGGAUAAGUAUAUAAAUGGAUAGAGAUAAGAAAGCGAACACAAGAUUUACGUGGUUCACCCAGAUUGGCUAUGUCCACGGAAUAGAGGAGUUCUCAUUAAUUGUGAAAGGUUUACACAAGUACAUAGGUUCAAGCUCUCCUUUAGUGAGUACAAGUGAAUGAUUUAGUACAAAUGACAUUAGGAAAUAUUGUGGGAGAAUGAUCUCGUAAUCACGAAACUUCUAAGUAUCGGAGUGUGGUAUCGUCUUGACGUGCCUUAUCUGUCUCAUAGGUAGAUGGGGCAUCUUCUCUGGAAGUACUCUUCCUCCAUCCAGGGGUGGUAUCUUUAACUGGUGGAGAUGCACAUGGUAAUGUAUCAAUUUCACUUGAAGCUUACUUGUAGUUUCAGGCUUGGUCAAGCGCGAUACAAACCAUGUAGUAGGAGUCCCCCAAGUCGUCGAGCUAGGGGAUCUGGACAAACUAUAUAGAAUUAUUAUCUGAUAUACUAUUGCAAAUAUGCCUCUAUAACACACAAAACAUUGAAUUCCAUUACCUUGUUGUUAUUGACCUCUUUCUCAGUCAGAAUCGCCAGAGCUUCCAAACCGUCGACUAGGACCAUGUCGCCUUCGCGCACCCGUGGGUAGAGCUGAAGAGGAGAUUCAGAAUUAUAAUACAUCAUACUGACAGAUUCUAAGACACAUUUCAUCGAACACCUAAUGUGCCACAUUCUCAUAUGCUUUCUUGUAAGAUUAAUUGAAGAACAGUAAGUGUUUGAACAAAAUUAACUUCUAGAUGAGUAAUUUAACAGAAAAGAAGCAAUAAAAGAACCCAGAAAUCUUUAAUGAAGAACAAUACUUAGUAUUUGAACAAAAUUAAUUUCUAGAUGAGUAAUUUAACAGAGAAUAAGCAAAAAGAAACCCAAAAAUCUUGAAAAAAAUUGUCAAUAAGAUUGAGCUCAAAAACUUGAAAUCUCAUUGAAACAGCUUUUCAGGUGUUUACAGCUUACAUAUGCAUGAUAACAAAAAGAAGCAUCCUUUCUUCACUAAUUGGACACUAACAGAAAAACCCUAAUUCAUAUUAUUCAGAUUACAAAUACACGAGACCAAAUAGCUAAGAAAGCUGGAAAACUUGACCCCAAUCAAACACAAAUAUUGUUCUGGUUAUACAUGCGAUACCCACCUAACAUAUCAACCAAUUCCAAAUUGAAAUGGAAAAUGAAAUGAAGCAACAUAAAUUGAAUACAAUUUGGGGAAAAUUAUCUCACCUAGAGCUCCAAAUCUCCAAGAGUUCCCGAUCCGAGUAGCCUCCGAAUUGGGUUGUUGAAGAUGGUGAUCAAGGAAUGGUUUUGGAGGUGGGUUUGAUCAGAUCAAAGGCUAAGCCAUUAGGUUUGGAGGGAAAAGAACACAGAGCUACUGCAAGAGAGAGAGAGAGAGAGAGAGAGAAAGAAAGAGAAAGAAAGAAAGAGCAUGUGUUGUCCUUUUCUUCUAUCCAGCCACUGGAUCGCAGUUCCAUCACAAAAAUUAUAUGUAUGUGUUAGUUUUUAAAGUUCUAGUUUUGCAAUCGACUUAAGAACACCAUAAUCGAAGAGUUCGAAGGGAUUUACCUUUGGAUGCUAUCGGAAUGAGUUCUUGUGUGUGGGCCUGCAACUUCGUUUGCAGGCGUGAUGUUUCCAUGAAAUUUCUCUCGGGUUUACAUAGAGAGCAAAGCGAGAGAGCUCUCCAGAUUUUGAGCAAAAUCCCCCUAAACUACGAUGUAGAUAGCUUCAGCUGGGAUACAUGUAAACAAAUUCAAAGCUCAAGACCUUAAACUGAGCUCUUGGAAAUCUCACUUCAAUUAAGCAGUUUUUCAGAUGUUUACAGCUUAAAUAUGCAUGAUAACAAAAAAGAGGCAUCCUUUCUUAACCAAUCAGACACUAACAGAAAAAACCCUAAUUCAUAUUAUUCAGAUUACAAAUACACAGGCGACCAAAUAGCUAGGACAAUUUAACCCUAAUCCAACACAAAAAUUGUUGUGGUUAUACAUGCAAUACCCGCCUAAAAUAUCAACAAUUCCAAAUUAAAAUGGAAAAUGAAAUGAAGCAACAUAGAUUGAAUACAAUUUGGGGAAAAAUUAUGUCACCUGGAGCUUUGAAUCUCCAAGAGGUCCCAAUCCGAGCAGGCUUCGAAUUGGGCCGAUGCCAUUAGGUUUAGGGGGAGAGGAACACAGAGCUAUUGUGAGAGAGAGAGAGAGCAUGCGUUGUCCCUUUCUUCUAUACAGCCACUGGACCGUAGUUCCUUCACAAAAAAAAUUAUAUGCAUGUGUUAGUUUUUCAAGUUCUAGUCUUGCAAUCGACUAAAGAACACCGUAAUCGAAGAGUUGAAAGGGGUAUCGCACUUCUGAGCUUCUUCUUCUUCUAUAACACCUUUUGGUCCUCCUCAUCGCCUAAUUCCUCAUCAUCUACACGCCAACACUACCUCUAGAAGAGCCUUACCAAUAACCAAGUUAAUAAGCAUAAGUUCAAACAUUAAACGAAUAUAAAAUGAUAUAUGUACGAAAAAAAUGUUCCAUUUUUACAUGAACAACUAAGCAAAAGUAUUAUUACAACUAAGCAUAAAUUUUGAGGACAAAUCUAAACCAGAUGCUUUCAUCAUUAACACAAAUAACCAUCUAUAUGAAUACUAAUUGCAUACUCCCUCAAGGUCCUAUGGAUAACUAUGAAUGUUUUCAAAUUCAACUGCCAAUGACAAACACAAAAAUAAUACAAAAAGUUUAACAUGAAUCAAAACAUAUGUAUUCGAAAUGGUAAGCAUAUUAAUCCAUAAGAUAUUGAUGAUUCACAUACAACCAAUAAGAAAAGUAUCAUAUAAGUGUUGAAUCGUCCCUUGUAAAUUCGAGCAACAUUGAAUGGGACCAAUAGAUGACCAUUGGUGAAAACUUCAGAAUAGUUAAAAAUAAAUACACUUAUCAGCGGCAGAGAACAUCAGUAGACCACCUCUACUUUAAACCCAACUACAAAAAGUGCACAAAAUGCAAGGAUUAACCUCUUUUAGAAAAUGAAGGAAGAAAUACUAAAGCUUAAGCCAACGAAUAUAACCGUAUUAAACUCAAAAUAUUUGACAUUAAUGACACAAAUUCAAUCCCGUAUAACCAGGCAUAAACUUUAUCCUAGAGACACAUAGUGCUACAACCAUUACAUUUGGAAAACCAGACGUCUUCUAAGUAAAGCAACAUGAUCUCCUAAUUCAACUAAAUUUUCCAAUGAACCAGAAUCAAUAACGAAGAUAAUCAAGAUGUAAACGAUGGACUAUUGAACAUAUUUUGAACACCCACUUUACAUGUGAAAACAAUCACCAUCAACCUUGUAACCUGAAUCAAGCUGGUUUCACAUAUGCCAAUAGAAAACCAAAAUAUCAGUGUUUGUGAAGUUACCUUAUGUGAAAUGUUAGAAGUAUCUGGUGUAUGUAAAUGGUAGAACUUGUAAAACCUUAGUUUCAAAUGAUGCUUUAGCUCUUUCAUUCAUUUCUUCAAUGACUUUUCUUCGGGCUUUCCUGGCAUAUAAAAUACUGAAUAGGAAAGAGAAAUAUUAAAGUUCUACCACUAAAAUACAGAGUAUACUUUUAGAUAAAUAUGAUUCAAAUACCCAAAUUUAAUUUAUGAUAUCUGACACGUCCCAACCCCGAUAUUCUGAAUACCCGGAUAGGCACGUGUUGACCGACACCUGAGGGUGACGAAAGCCAUUUAUUGAUUACAAGAGUAAUGAUUAGGAAGAACAUAAGCAUGAAUAGUCAUUAGAAUUUAAGAGUAACAAAAAAAGUUUAAGGAAAUGUCUAGAGUGCACAUAACACGAUCUAAUUCAAGAUUCACAAAAAGGAAAGAUCAUUACAGAUAUCACACAAGUGGGUGAUAGAUUGCUACUGGUAGGGGAAUGCCUUGUACGCCGUGUCAUAGUCCUCGUUUCUAAGACCUGAAUGGGGGCGCAAAACAAAGGUGAGUAAACCAAGUUUAUAUAUGCAAUAAUAAUAAAACAGUUAUCAAGAUACUAACCCCUACAGUUUAUAUAAAGAAAACUACUAGCAUAAUAGGUGAUAGGUUUAAUAAAAAUCCUAGCAUGCCAAAAAAUAUCUCAAGAGACAUAUCGUGGAACACGAAAUAUCAAACGUCUCAUAAAUCAUCUCGUAGUGCAAUGUACUACUAGUAAGAUCACUGAAUAAAUAUAUCUCCUGGUCCUAUGCCAGCACCGUGGUCUUUGUGCCCGUAGCUAGAGAUUACCAACUCCCGGCCCAAUGCCUGCUCCGUGUCCCAUAGCCCGUAGCUAGGGAUUAUUUCUCUCGGUCUAUCUGCCAACACCAGAUCCUCACCCCAGGCAGCAUAGUGUCUACUAGGUACGCACAAAUAGUUACGCCUCUCAUAAAUAACCACUUCAUAGUAUAAAGUCAUCAAUCGUCUAUACUAUAAAGAGGGGUUUCUAAAACAUGUUCUAGCAUCCUAUUGUCAUCCAUCAGAUAGUCUACCAGUUCAAGGUUUUUAUAGAAAAUACAACAUAUUAAAAUGUAGCUCAAUAUAGGCCAACAAUUAAUUCCUCACAAAAAAUGAGACGAUAAACAACAUAUUUCAUAAACUUGCUUAACAUAAAACUCAGUUCAUAAAUUUGUAAGGCAAGCAUUUAAUUUAUGCAGUUGAACUAUGAAAUUAUGCAAAUUUUAGAAAAGGUCCACUCACAGAUACUCCUUAGCAGUAGAGUUGUGCGGAUAAGGAUUACGAAUUCCCUCACUAGCAACAUCACCUAAGAACAAAAAUGUAAUAAAUAAAUAAAAGGAUUUUCUAAAGGAUUUGGGCUUGAACUAAAUAAAAUAAAGGAUUUGGGUUGGAUGGGUUAGGGUCUAAUGGGUUAAAAGGGUUUAGGGUGAAGAAGGGUGGUUUGGGCUUAAGACCAAACUCCCCCACACACACACCCACACUACACAAACAUACAUACAUGCACAACAUGCAUACGCAUGCACGACAUGCACACACACACACACACGGUACACACACACACACGUAGCCCACAUACACACACCUGCACAACAUAUACAUACACACCCACACGUACACAACACACGCACACACAUGGUACACACACACACACGUAGCCCACAUACACAUACACACUCACUCACACAUUGCACAGCCUAAAGGCCUCACACACAGGGCCGGGCCUCAAACCCUCAGUAAAUAAUAAAGGCCCAAGACUUGUGGCCUUUAAAACAAAUAAUAAAAAUGGGUUGGGUUUUGUCUACGAACCUAAAGCCCGUGGGUGUCCUAAGCGGCCUAAAGGGCCUGUGUGCUGAUCAGAGGAAAAAGCCGGAGCUGCUACAGCUCCGGCUGGUGGUUUUCUAACAAACUAGGGUUCAAACUAUACACCAAAAUGAAGAGGGAAUAGAGUAGAGUAUUUCCAUACCCUUUCUUCGCCAUGAAAUGGCUAUGAGUGGUCUGAAAAACCCUUGAAGGUCACGGGUUCGCCGAAAUAUAUGGGUGAGUUUCCCCCGUGUCGUUCCCAUCCUCAAAACCUUGGAAGAACAACAUGGUUUUCAUCACACAACUUCCAUAAACCAAAACGGUAAAUUAAAAACGUAAUUGAACUUACCUAGUUGGAAGAAAUGGAGAAAUCCGUCGGAGGUGCCUUCUCUGGGUUCCCCGACUUUGCUACGAUGGGGAGAGAGAGAGAGAGAGAGAGAGAGAGAGAGAGAGAGAGAGAGAGAAAGAGAUGUUGCCAGGAAAAUGAUGAAAAUGAUCUACACUAGAGCUGCAUACAGGAUGCUUGGCAGGUCACAGUGCAAGGAGUGAAGGGAGAGAAAAGAGAUCCCGUGAGAGAGAGAAAGAUGUCUGAGAUUGGAAAGUGUUUCGGGAAGAGAGGGAAGAUAAGAGAGUCAGAGAGUUGCCACAUGGCAGUUUAGGAACAAUAGAGAAUCUAGAUCAAGGUUUAGGACUAAAAGAGAAUAAGGGAUUAAAUUGAUAAAUUUAAAAUAUGUCCCAGGAAAAAUAGAAAUAUACUUAAAAUAUGGGGGUGGUUGUAACAAUAUCUUCCAAAAAGAAAAUGCCUCUUGAUUAGAUUUCUUUCGUCCACGAACUUUCUCCUUGACAAACUCCUAAGAUUGAACAAAAAAGGAAAAUCAAUCACAAUUGAUGCAAGUAGAGGGGAAGGACAAAGAAGUGGAAUUUUAUGAGUACAGUAACACUGCACCAGCAGACAAAAAACUACACAUUAUUCAAAUUCAAGAACAGAAUUAAACGGUGAGGAAUGUAGAACUACAAAUACACAAACUAACCAAAAGAUGUUAUGAAAUUAAAACACACACCAAAAGACACAUUAUAGUAAAAUUCAACACCCUUAUAACAGUUUCCCUAUAGACAAUAAUAAAGGUACAAUCUUUGCAAAAACUCAUGUAACAACUAUACCAACAAACCAACUCAGAAGCCCCAAACAAAGCUCAAAGCCCCCAAUGUUACACCCACCCCCACUUAGAAAAAUAUAAUUAUGUAAUUAUCCCCAAAAUAUUAUUAAAUCUAUCAAUUUAUUUAGAUCCUGAUUGGGUAAGAAAAUUAGGACAGUAGCACGAUAUUGUCCGCUUUGGGCCCCGACCAUGCCUUCACGGUUUUGUUUUUGGGAACUCACAUGAGAACUUCCUAGUGGGUCACCCAUCCCGGGAUUGCUCUCACUCGAACUCGCUUAACUUCAGAGUUCCGACAGAACCCGAACCCAGUGAGCUCCCAAAAGGCCUCGUGUUAGGUAGAGAUGAGAAUCUACAUAUAAGGCUUAGAGGAUCCACUCCCCUGGGCGAUGUGGAAUGUUACAAUCCACCCCCCUUAGGGGCCCGACGUCCUUGUCGGCACACAUCCGGCCAGGGAUGUGACAAUUUGGUAUCAGAGCCAAUCUCUGGCCGGAUGUGUGCCGAUGAGGACGUCGGGCCCUUAAGGGGGGUGGAUUGUAAUAUCCCACGUCACUCAGGCGAGUGGAUCCUCUAAGCCUUAUAUGUAUUCUCAUCUCUACCUAGUACGAGGCAUUUUGGGAGCUCACUAGCUUCGAGUUCCAUCGGAACUCUGAAGUUAAGCGAGUUUGCGUGAGAGCAAUCCCAGGAUGGGUGACCCAUUGGGAAGUUCUCUUGUGAGUUCCCAAAAACAAAACCGUGAGGGCGUGGUUGGGGCCCAAAGCUGAUAAUAUCGUGCUACGGUGGAGUCGAGCCCGGGAUGCGAUGGGGACCCGGGUCGGGAUGUGACACCCAAAUACCAGAAAUCGAAAAGAAGCCGAAAAACCAAAUUAAGCAAUUUAAGAAUUAUUAGUCAAGCAACUAGGCUUUUAUACAUUCUUUUAUAUAAUUGUUCGAAUAUAUCAAUGUUUUGAAGGGGAAAAAAACAUAAAGAUACUAUCAAAAAAGUCUCUUUGAGGCUCUUGGUUUUCAAUGAUAUAAAAAAAAUGCUUCAUGUCCAUUUCUCCCUCUAUUUUGGAAAACAGUUUGAUAUUAACGAAAUGACCUUUCACCUGGAAGGAUUUGAAUGUGACUGUCCACUUUCUUCGCUUUUUUUUUCUUUCUCUUCACAUAGUUCCUUGAAUACCAUCAAAAUUUAAAGAAGUUGUCGAGUUAGAUCAAGCAUAGAUAACAUUAAUAUGUCUAACCAAGUGAAAACCCUUUGUCUACAACUAAACAAAAUAUACUUAAUAAGAACAAAAUAUGCAUACCAAAUAGACAUGAUAUUUUGUAUUAGGGUGGUUAUACUCAACUACAACACUUUCCUAAGUCAUAGCAAUUAGAGAUAAUCAUCACAAUUCCACCAAUAAAAAAAUUGUAAUUCUUGAUCCCCACUUUCUUCGCUUUUUUUUCUUUCUCUUCACAUAGUUCCUUGAAUACCGUCAAAAUUUAAAGAAGUUGUCGAGUUAGAUCAAGCAUAGAUAACAUUAAUAUGUCUAACCAAGUGAAAACUCUUUGUCUACAACUAAACAAAAUAUACUUAAUAAGAACAAAAUAUACAUACCAAAUAGACAUGAUAUUUUGUAUUAGGGUGGAUAUACUCAACUACAACACUUUCCUAAGUCAUAGCAAUUAGAGAUAAUCAUCACAAUUCCACCAAUAAAAAAAUUGUAAUUCUUGAUCCCUCUAAAUGAACUAUACAGCUUUUAAAAUUGAACGCCAUAGCCGUCUUCCUUGAUCACUUUGUUAAUUUUCAUCUCCAUAUUGUAGGAAGUUAACUAUACUGUAAGCCCAUUUACAGCCUUAACUUAAAAAAACCUAAAACUUUAUCUUAAACUCCAAAAAUUACAUGGGUAUCCCGUCGUCCGCUGUCGUCUGCUGGUUCUUCCCGCAGCCACACUCCUGUUCAAGCUGCUCGGAGCUCUUCUGCAGGCUCCUCUCGGUCAGCACCCAACCCACGACUCAAUUAUCAGAACCGACCCUCACCUUCUGCACAUCACAUGCAGGGCUCCUCUACCCUCCAAGACUUACGCACUGCCAUGCCAAACUUGUCCGAUGAUCAGUGCACUCGUCUACUUGCUUCCUUGGAUGAACCUGCCUCUACCUUCUCUUCUGCCGCUCCGGCUCAGGCCCAUGCAGUUUUCUCGCCAUGAUUUUACUCAAGGUUUGUUACCCGUUGCUUCGUGUCAUGGUCAAUGGAUCAUUGACAGCGGUGCCACAGACCAUAUCACCUCUGUAAGAAUCCUAUGUGGACUUAACUACUUGUGAUAAAAGUGGAAUUACAUGUUGAUAAUACAACUUCAAUAAGAGUUUGAUACGUGGAAAACUAAUGUCCUAUAAUUCAGGAAACACAUUCGAAAUGUUUGGGAUGCAACUGCCUUCCACUAACCCUUGUUUUCACUGAACUUGAUACAACGGGACAAUAACCAACUCACCCACAAUAGAUGGGAGUUGGCAGCCGUUGUUUCUUUAUAGGAGUUCCCUGCUCACCAAGAAAAAACAUUCUUUGGCAUAGGGUUCUAUCACCAUAAGAAUAUAAAGGUCUUGAGUGAGUAGAAGGAUUCCUUGUGCAACUAACCAUGUCUUCUUCAGAGCUCGUGUAUGAUUAACAACCACCAUGGCUGCACCAGGUAAGCUUUUCUCAUUACAUUUGAUCGUGACCUAGCAAAGCAUGCUAAGAAAUCCUAAUGCUUUAUGCACCUAUAAAAUUCGUAUGAUGAUUGCUGCAGUUUUUCUAUAGCAUGAUUAAUUAUUCUAAUGCCAUAUGUUGCUGCCAAAGUUUUAUUCACUGCAGGAAAAGGAAUAUAUGGUUUGGAGAUUAAACCACUGUAAGCAUUGCGCUUUUGUCAUUCUAGAAUUGGUAGUCAUGGUUGCUUCAAUUUCACAAACGAUGAUUGGUAUAUGAUUGAAAUCAGUUUCUUGAUAUCUAUUUGAUAUUCGUGUUGCAACCAAUAUGCAUAAACUUGUAACAGGACCUCAAUUUUUCUCUGAAAAGAACUCUUCUUUGAACAACAUACAGUGAUAUCAAACGUAUCCUCAACCUUGAGAUUUAUCACUGCUAAUUUACGAAAUAUAUGGCUGAGAACAUACCUACAUGUAUGCUAUCUGCCCCAUUCUUUUCUAUAAACCCUUUUAAGGGUUUAUGAUGAUUUCUGGGUUUAUGGUGGCAAGUGUUGAUUUUAUUUUGAUCUUGGAGUUGUGGUUCUCAUAAUUGAUAAACCUUUUUCGAGUCGAAAGUGAAUUUCAUGUUUUUUGAGUUUUACAUUUGUCGUGUGACGUUAAUAUGGAAUAAUUGUCUUUGAAUCUUCAUUAAAUUUUGAACUGGAGGGUUCCUUCAGGAGGGUUGAUCUUAUAUCAAUGUUUAUUUGAGAUUUUGAUUAUGGUCUUUGCUAGGAGAACACAUAUAAAGUAUAGCAUUGAUUAUAAUCGUUACUUAGAGAGAUCAUUUGGCUUUAACUGCUUUUGAUAAACGCUACAAAGUUGAUCUGAUCACUCUGGAUUUUGGAAUCCAUUUAUUAUUAAGCUUAGGAGGGAAUAUAUUGAGUGGUUUGAUUUAUGAAUUUGAACAUUGUAUCUGGUGGAAUGUUAAACAAAUUCGAUUCUUUUAAUUACUAUUGUCGUUGAUUAUAUUUUGAUCCUCGGCACUAUAAUUCUUCGAUUAAUGUUUGUAAGUUCUCUGUUUUUUUGGGACAUUUGCGUUUGCAAAGUGGUUAAUUGAGCACAGGCCAUUGGUUGAAGGGUGUUGCUGUCUUGAACUGGCCAGGUAUUUCUCGACUAUUUCACACCUCCAUUUGCGUAUGCAAUCAUAUACAGCUACAAGAUGGAUGGAUGGAGCUUUGGGUGAUCAAAGCUGGCUUGCUAUUACCAACAUGUGAAUUCUUCAGCUGCCUUGUACCCGUGGGCUGUUUCCAUGAACUCUGUCUUGGAAUUGGUGUUGUUGUGUGGGAGUAAAAAGUGUACUGAGUUGAUGAAGCCAAAAGUUGAUGAGCUUGGUUGACGAGUUUGGUAGUAGGGGUAUUCAAGAAUCACGUUGCAAACAUGGGUGUGGUUGAAUCAUUUGCCUCAGCUACUGUAUAAAAGUAAGGGUUGGUCUUUCAUUUUAUUUUGCCUUAUGCUCUAAAUAAAGAAUGGACUUAUGUGUGAAUUUUACCAUGUUAAUGGUUGAAGUUAUAUUUCAGUUAUUGUGUAUAUGUACAAAUAUAUGCAUGCAGUAUAUUGAAAUAUUGUGGACUGAUGAAAGAUUCAGACCGAAUGAGCUUGGUAUUUUAAGCAUUCCAUUGAAGCUAAACAAAAGCUUGACAAUGGUGGAGCACUCUAAUCAGUGGGAGCUUGGAAACAGAGCUUUAAAUUUGUUUUGGUAUUUGUAUCAUGCAUAAUGCAUAUUUGACAGUUUAUGUUUUUUGCCCAAAGGUGUAACAUAAAUGUGUGUUGUUUGAAGCUGCACUCUUUGCAUACAAGUAAUGUCUUCUUGACUGCACUAUAAUGCAUAUUGAUAUCUAAAUAUGCAUUGGCAAUAGCCAUUGGUGUAGAUUGUAGCUUAGUAAGUUUUUGUUGUCUUAUUCUAAUAUGUCUAAAAGUGAUUUUAUACAUAUAUUUUGAAUCUCACUCUAGCAUUGAUGUGGUAAAGCAAUAUAUUUUAUUGUGCAUAUGAAAUGUGAGCAUGAUUUAAUUGGUAAGCAAGUGCGUAAACACAUCAAAACCUUUUCAUUUCAGUUUGAACUCGAUGUUGUGUAUGUAUGUUAAAGCAAAGGGGAGUGGAGAUUGGGAUUUAUGUUGAACUUGAAUAUGGUUGGUAGGUUGCAAGGUUGAACCUAAUACAUGUGAAAAUAAUCUAUAAUUAGAUUUUACUUGUGUAAAAUAUUGAUUUUUCUUUCGACACUUGGAUGAUUUCUACAAUCAAAUUGAAAUGCUAAAAUUUUAUGCAGGAUAUCAACACUAAUAAUCUCUAUACUUGAACAAAUGUUUAAAUAAAUCUUCACCAAAGUGGUAAUUAUUAGGAAAUUUUGUUCAAGGGAUUCUUAUUUGAAUUUUGUGAGUGACAAUUCAUUACAUGAGACCAAUCUUUCAAAAGAGAGAAAUAGUGAAUGGCUUGAACUGUGAUAUAGUGUAUAGUAUUUUAUAAAAGUUUUAAGCCGACUUUGUUCCCUUGUCCAAAGACAUGAUUUGAGUUGUAACUUGAAAUUUUUGUGAAAUAGCUAUACAAGUAAUGAUGCAUAAUUAAAAUUGCAUAACUGAUAUUUUAUGUCUCUUGCCCAAAGGUGUUACAUAAAAUUGCGUGUCAUGGUUAUUCACUGAAUAACUAGAUUAUCUGCAUAAGGCAAAAUUGAGGCUUCACUGGAAGCAUUAGGCAAACUCAUUGGAGUUUGAUAAAUGAUCUGUAAAGAAUGACAAAAAGAUAUUUGCCAGAAUGAUUAUUUCAUUCAUUAAGUUGAAAUAUAUAUACAAAUGUGAUCCUAUAAUCAAGGAAUACAAUCAAGUAAAUUAUUCUAUACAAUGUCAACUAUGUUUAAUUACAAUCAGAGAAUACUUGGCAACCAAUUUAUCCCUAACUUUGUGGGAUAGAGUUGACGUUCCAACACUCCCCCUCAAGUUAGAGAGUGUAUAUCCAAAACUCCCAACUUGCAUAACAUAGCUGAGAAAGCAUCAUUUCCCAACGCCUUUGUGAACACAUCUGCAAGUUGUUGUGAUGAAGAGACAUGUUUUGUUACAACUGAACCAUCUUGGACUUUAUCUCUGAUAAAAUGGCAAUCAAUCUCUAUGUGUUGAGUUCGUUCAUGGAAGAUUGGAUUGUCAGCUAUGUGUAAUGCUGCUUGGUUGUCGCAAUAUAGGGUUGCAACCCCUAGAUGUGGUAAAUUCAGGUCUCUAAGAAGAUAUCGAAGCCAUGACAGAUCACAACAAGCUUCUGUCAUAACUCUAUAUUCGGCUUCAGCUGAAGACAAUGACAUUAUCUUCUGUCUCUUUGAUCUCCAAGAAAUUAAGAAGGAUCCCAAGAAUAUGCAAUAACCUGUAGUGGACCUUCGAGUAAUUGGGCAACUUGCCCAGUCUGAAUCACAUUAAGCUCUUAAAACUAUUUUGUUUUGUGAGGAAAAUAAAAGACCUUGACUUGGUGUGCCUUUGAGGUACCUUAGAACACGGAGUGCUACUUCCAUAUGUGGUUUAUGUGGCUCAUGCAUGAAGCGACUCAAGAUGUGCACUGAAUAAAUGAUGUUAGGACGAGUUAUCGUCAAGUAAAUCAAGCGCCCCACAAUCCGUCUAUAUUGUGAUGGGUCUUUGAGUAGUUCCCCUUUAUCUGAAAGCUUCAAGUUUUGUUCCAUGGGAAAGUCAACUAGCCUUGCUCCCAAGAGGCCAACAUCUUUCAAGAUCUCCAAGGUAUAUUUCCGUUGUGAAAUGGAAAUACCUUUAUGGGAACAUGACACUUCGAUUCCCAAAAAAUACUUCAGGUCUCCGAGAUCCUUGAUUCGAAAACGACUGUGCAAAAAAGCUUUAAGGGAAGAAAUAGCAGCCUUAUUAUUGCCAAUGAUAACGAUGUCAUCCACGUAAAUUAAAAGAGUCGUGAAAGAGCUUCCUCUAUGAUGAGUGAAGAGGGAAUGAUAUGCCUUUGAUUGUACAAAACCAGCAGCUUUAAUGGCAGCAAAGAACUUAGCAAACCAUUGGCGAUAAGCUUGUUUCAAACCAUACAACGACUUGUGGAGGCGACAUACCAAAUGCUCCCCUUAUCGUAGGAGACCAGGAGGGGGUGACAUAUAUAUUUCCUUAUGAAGAUUGCCAUGUAAGAAGGCAUUAUUAACAUCAAGCUGAUGAUGAAGGGACCAACUAAGGGCAGAGGCAAUGGACAAUAAACAACGGACAGUGGUCAUUUUAGCGGUGGGCGAGAAAGUGUCAUGGUAAUCGACACCUUCCAGCUGAGUGUAACCCUUGGCGACCAAACGAGCUUUUUAACGCUCAAUUGUCCCAUCAGAAUGGCGUUUGACUUUGUAAACCCAUUUGCAACCAAUGGGAGACUUGCCAGGAGGAAGAGAAGUGAGAGUCUAAGUGCGAUUCUUGGCCAAUGUUUGCAACUUAGAUUGCAUAGCAAUCUGCCAGUAAAGGUGAGAAACAGCCUUGGCAUAGGUUUGAGGUUCCACAUCAUGGCUAACAUGGUUAAUAUAAGCAAAAUGUGUGGGUGAGUAGCGAUGAUAUGAAAGAAAAUGGUCCAAGGGAUACCUGGUGCCUUAAGUGGAACUUGACGAUGAAGAGAGCGACGGUUUGGGUGCAGGCAACAGCACCUGCGAGCAAACAUAAUCAUUGAGGUAAGUAGAGGUGGUGCGUUGGCAUAGAGGACGCCCAAUGGGGUCGGGGGUUAGUUCAAUGACAGGGUAGGAGAAGGAUUAGGAGUAGUGGGAGUAGGCUCGGUGGCAUGGGAAAGGGGAGAAGAAUUAGAUCAGGGUUAUGUGAUGUAGUAGGAGGUGAAGAAGAUGGCGAAGAAGGUGAGGAAGAGUGGGAUGCGUCGUGAGGUGGUAAGGAAGGAGUAAAGGUGAGAGGUAGAGGACCCGAGUCGGAAGGAGAUUGACUAGAAAUGGGAAGAGGUGCCGUGUUUGAAGGAGGCAAGGUUUGAAAAGGAUAGGUAUUUUCAUGAAAAAUAACAUCUCGACUGGUGAAGAUUUGUUUGAAGUCCAAGUCAUAGAGUUUGUAGGCUUUUUGACCAACAAGGUAACCCAAAAAAACACAACGCUUUGCUCGGGAAUCAAAUUUAUGAGAAACAUGUGUGUUUGUUGCAUAUGCAAGACAACCAAAAACCUUUAUAUGAGAAAAAAAAGGACGUUGACCAUGAAGGAGUUCGUAAGGUGUUUUGUAGUGGAGAAGAGGGGUUGGAAAUCUAUUGAUAAGGUGGAUAGCGGUGAGAACACAAUCGCCCCAGAAAUGUAAUGGAAGGUGAGCUUGAAAAAGCAAGACGCACACCAUUUCAAUUAUGUGGCGGUGCUUGCGUUCGAAAAUACCAUUUUGUUGAGGCGUAUAGACACAUAAAUGUUGGAAAACAAUGCCAAGAUCUCUGAAAAUAAGUCGGAAAGAAAGAAGCUCCCCACCAUUAUCAGUUCGAAUGGUCUUUACUUGUGUGUGGAAUUGGGUUUCACUUUUCUGGUGCAUAAGGAAAACCCAAGUAAACCUAGACUAAUCAUCCACCACAGUUAAAAAAUAUUUAGCUCUGGAAAGAGAUUUGAUUUUGUAAGGACCCCAAAUGUCACAGUGAAAAAGCUCAAAAGGGUGCCUAGUAUUAAUCGAACCGAUGCCAAAGGAAAGACGAUGUUGCUUGGCCAAAGGGCAUACCUCACAAACUUUAUUCAAAUGAAAAGGGAAAUGUAACAAAUGUUUAGCCAUAAACUUCAAUCUAGAAGGGGAUAGGUGACCCAAACGACGGUGCCAUAGCUCGGUAGAGGAGGUGACAAGGUAGCAGGAAGGUUGGACAGAGGGUUGCGGUGUUGCUAAGGCCACCAAAUAAUAGAGUCCUCCACAUCGUUUACCCAAACCAAUCGUUUUCUUCGUAGCCGAGUUCUGCAAAAUACACCAAGUAGGGUAAAAGGUUAUGGAACAAGCCAUUUCACUGGUUACUCGACUUACAGACAUUAAAUCAACUUUGAAAGUGGGCACACACAAAACAUUUUGUAAAUGAAUGGAGGGAGUUAAAGACAAACUCCCAAUGGAAGUAAUGGGAGCUUGUUCGCCACUAGGUAGUUGAACAGGUGGUAGGGUAAUAUUUUUAGUGCAAUGAGUAAGUGAAUUUGGAGAAGAGGUAAUAUGGUCUGUAGCACCACUAUUGAUUAUCCAUUGACAGAAGCGUUGUGGGACACUUGGCAAACCUGAUGAAGUGCCAGCGACAUUGGCUUGAGGAGCAUUGGUUUGAGAAGUGGUCUGUGUAGCGCCGUUGUCGUUCAUGAUGGAUAGAAUUUGCUGAAAUUGUGCAUUAGAGAGACCAGGGACUAUUGUGUGUAGUUCUUGCAUGGGAACCUCGCCAGUAGUGGCGUUGUUGGUAGAAGAAGAGCCCCUAUUACGCUUAGGGCGCCCUUCACCAUUGUUGCUGUGUCCAUCACCUUUGUUGGACUUGUGAAGGUGAUGGUCCGGGAGAUAUCCGUGCAGCUGGUAGCAUGUGUCAAUGGUGUGGUGAUCGAUGUCACAAUGGGUGCAAUGGAGUGGUUUACGGGAGGAAGAGUUGUUGCCACUCAUUUGUUUCUGCCCUCGACGAACUGCCAUUGCAGCAACUUUAGCAGCUUCGCAUGAAUCACUCACAUCACACUGUUUUUCCUGCUGAAUGAUCAUGGAGUACGCUGAUCGUACCGUAGGUAAUUGACUCAUCAUCAAAAUGUUACCUCGUGUAGCACUAUAAGCCUCAUUGAGCCCUAUGAGGAACUGCAUUAAUCUGGUUCGCUCAAUUUGUUCACCUUGUUUCUGUAGAAUGCCACAUGUACAAAACUCAUGGUCGUCAUAGGAUGCAAGCUUAUCCCACAGACCCUUCAACUUGGUAUAAUAAGCAGCAACAUACAACUUGUCUUGAGAUAUAUAAGCUAUCUCUCGUUGGAUUUGAAAAAUUCUGGGUGCAUUACCUUGACUGAAACGAUCUUCAAGGUCUUGCCAAAUUGCUUGGGUUGUGUUGUAGUAAACCAUACUAUCAUGUAUGGACUGAUCGACGGAGUUCAAAAUCCAGGAAAUGAUCAUGUCGUUGCAUCAUUUCCAGGAAGCAUAAUCAUCGGGGUUCUUCUUUUCAUCAUGAACCUUUAGUGUGCCAUCCACAAAACCUAACUUGUUCUUCGCGUUCAGUGAAAGCUUCACAGAAUGACACCAAGUGGCGUAGUUGUCUCCGUUGAGAAGCUUGGAGACAAGAACCAUCGUCGGAUGAUCGGAUUGGUGGACAAAAUAAGGAUUGGAAGCAUCAGGUUUACUUCCAGUAGAGGUUUGUUCGUUGGCCAUGGCUGAAGGUUGGAAACGACAGGAAAAAAGGUAGCGGAAAGAAAGAAAAAAAAAUAGGGUUUAUUGUUUGCCCUAGCUUUGCAAUACCAUGUAAAGAAUGACAAAAAGAUAUUUGCCAGAAUGAUUAUUUCAUUCAUUAAGUUGAAAUAUAUAUACAACUGUGAUCCUAUAAUCAAGGAAUACAAUCAAGUAAAUUAUUCUAUACAAAGUCAACUAUGUUUAAUUACAAUCAGAGAAUACUUGGCAACCAAUCUAUCCCUAACUUUGUGGGAUAGAGUUGACGUUCCAACAUGAUCAAAUAUGUUUGUAUCAUAUUUUGAUGUUGUUUCAUGUGAGAGGAAUGUAUAAAUGGUUUGAGAUGUUUUCAGGGUAUAACUUUUUUAAGAAAAUUAAGUUGACUAUUUUCUUUUCCAAAGACUUGAAAGCUUGGUUGUUUUGUUAAUCUUUUACAUGGUUGUUAUACAAUAAGGUUACAUAUCAAAUAGUGGAAAUGUGGGAGUGAGAUCGACACUCUAAAAUGCAUAAGUAUUUGUGUUCCUGUUGCUCUUGUUGAAUCAUGUUUCUUAUUCUAUCAACUAAAUGCAAUGAAUGUAUUGUACACAUUAAUCAAUUUCAGUGCUUGAUAAUGCUGCGAUACUUCAUCAUUAUUAUAUCUUUGAUUCAUAAAGAUGAUUGAUAGUAAACUAAAAUUUGUUGUUCGAGGUGUGUUUGUCCAAAGACGAUACAUGAAGAAACCUGGGUUUUGUAUGAUUAAAUAAAGGCACGAUGAAUCCAUUUAUGUUAUAAGGAUACAUCAUAUAGUUUGGGUUUAAAUACUUGUGGUUCUAGAGUGCAUGACAACUUGGGUUUCGUUGAAGUGUGGGAGUAACAACCUGAUAUUUGAUUUACUUUUGCUUAGUUUACAUGCUUUAAGUUUGUCAUUGCUGAAUGUAUGAGGUUUUAAUUUAUGACUUGCAAUAAAAUGUCUGAUCUUUGUUCCAAAGAACAUUUGAUUGAGUUUUAUUAUGUAUGAAAAUGGAAAGGGAAUCCAUUCAUUGAAGAUGGCAAACCACCUUCAAUCAAUAAAGGUAAACUGGAUAAAUGAGAAUGAAAUGGGGUAUGCAUCAAGAACCUUGUUUAGAAUGUGUAUACAUGUAUGUCAUCAUUAGCAUUAUACGGAAUGAAUUUGUGGAUUGUGGUUUCAGGGUGAAUGCAACAUUAUCGUAUGCAUUAUUUCCUGAGAUUCGAACUCCAAAUGAUUACUGGUCAAUGUGUGUAAGAUGCUAGUUGUGUAGAACUCAAGUGAUCCCAAGGAAUGAAGUUAUGUAGUACAUGAAAUUUCAAAACCACAACUAGUUAUCAUCCAUGUGGGAGAAUGUAAGAAUCCUAUGUGGACUUAACUACUUGUGACAAAGGGGAAUUACAUGUGGAUAAUACAACAUCAAUAAGAGUUUGAUAUGUGGAAAACUAACAUCCUAUAAUUCAGGAAACACAUUCGAAAUGUUUGGGAUGCAACUGCUUUCCACUAACCCUUGUUUGCACUGAACUAGAUACAACAGGACAAUAACUAACUCACCCACGAUAGAUGGGAGUCGGCAUCUGUUGUUUCUUUAUAGAGGUUCCCUGCUCACCAAGAAAAACAUUCUUUGACAUAGGGUUCUAUCACCAUAAGAAUAUAAAGGUCUUAAGUAAGUAGAAAGAUUCCUUGUGCAACUAAUCAUGUCUUCUUCAGAGCUCUUGUGUACGAUUAACAACCACCAUGGCUGCGCCAGGUAAGCUUUUCUCAUUACGUUUGAUCGUGACCUAGAAAAGCAUGCUAAUAUGAACUUGGAUUGGUCUUACAACCUCCUCCUUGUUUGGUUACUCCAUCUGCCCCUAAUUUACUUCAUGUGUCCUUGUCGAGUGGAGCCACGGCUCCGAUUACGUUGACGGCACACUCCGUUUAAAUUCCUCGAUCGAUUUGCAUGAUGUUUUGUGUGUUCCUAAUUUUAAAGUGGACCUUUUUUCGGUUGGAAAACUUACAGAUGGAUUAUCAUGUUCCGUAACCUUUUUUCCUUCUUGAUGUGUUUUGUAGGACUUGGUUUCGAAGGCAAUGAUUGGUUUGGGUAAGUGCCGUGGUGGCCUUUACUACCUCGUGGCACUUGCCUCCUCUAUCCUCACUCGUCAACCUUUAUGCAACAUCAUCACCAUUCCAUCAUCUUUAUGGCAUCAGCGCCUUGGCCACCCUUCUUUCGCUCGUCUUCAAGUCUUAGCAUCUAAUUUUCUUCAUUGUUCUUUUGAUUCUAGUCAUAUUUGUGAUAUUUGUCCAUUGGCGAAACAAAUUCGUCAACCUUUUGGUUUAAGUUCAAUUUCAACGACUUUUCCUUUUUCUUUAAUUCAUUGUGAUAUUGGGGUCCUAAUUGUAAUCCUUCACUUACCAGAGCUCAUUAUUUUUUUACUAUUGUGGAUGAUAUUACGUUUCACUUGGGUUUUCUUAAUGCAGCAUAAAUCAGACACAUAAUAAAUUCUCAAAGAUUUUUUGCUUACUUUACUACCCAAUUCCACACUACCAUUCAAAGUAUUCGCAGUGACAAUGGGGGUGAAUUUACCUCUCUUCACAAUUUUUUUAUGCACAUGGGGUUGUUUUCCAAACUUAUUGCGUUUACACGUCCUAAAAAAAUGGCAUCGUUGAAUGCAAACAUAGACACCUUUUAGGCACCGCUCCCGCCCUUCGUUUUCAAUCCCAUCUUCCACUUAAAUUUUGAGGUGAAUGUGUUCUAACCGCUGCUUAUAUUACUAAACGUCUUCCUACCUGGCUUCUUCAUAAUAAAUCUCCUUUUGAGGUUCUUCAUAAUAAAUCACCCUUUUAUGAUCACUUACGGGUUUUCGGCUGUUUAACUUAUGUGACGACGGUUCUUCCGCCUACAAAAUUUUCACCUAGGGCUCAUCGUUGUGUCUUCAUUGGUUACCUUCAUGGCCAAAAAACCUAUAAACUUUACGAUUUAGACAGUCACUGCACCUUCACUAGUUGGGAUAUAAUUUUUCAUGAAAGUUGUUUUCCCUUUGCACCAACUAAUG
rnacentral:lncRNA from 1 species